rnacentral:rRNA from 1 species
CGCUGGCGGCAGGCCUAACACAUGCAAGUCGAGCGCACCUUCGGGUGAGCGGCGGACGGGUUAGUAACGCGUGGGAACGUGCCCUUCUCUACGGAAUAGCCUCUGGAAACGGAGAGUAAUACCGUAUACGCCCUUUGGGGGAAAGAUUUAUCGGAGAAGGAUCGGCCCGCGUUAGAUUAGGUAGUUGGUGGGGUAACGGCCUACCAAGCCUACGAUCUAUAGCUGGUUUUAGAGGAUGAUCAGCAACACUGGGACUGAGACACGGCCCAGACUCCUACGGGAGGCAGCAGUGGGGAAUCUUAGACAAUGGGGGCAACCCUGAUCUAGCCAUGCCGCGUGAGUGGUGAAGGCCUUAGGGUCGUAAAGCUCUUUCGCCUGUGAUGAUAAUGACAGUAGCAGGUAAAGAGACUCCGGCUAACUCCGUGCCAGCAGCCGCGGUAAUACGGAGGGGGUUAGCGUUGUUCGGAAUUACUGGGCGUAAAGCGCGCGUAGGCGGA